rnacentral:rRNA from 1 species
UACAGAGGUCUCAAGCGUUGCUCGGAAUCACUGGGCGUAAAGCGCACGUAGGCGGCUUUCUAAGUCAGGGGUGAAAUCCUGGAGCUCAACUCCAGAACUGCCUUUGAUACUGGAGAGCUUGAGUCCGGGAGAGGUGAGUGGAACUCCGAGUGUAGAGGUGAAAUUCGUAGAUAUUCGGAAGAACACCAGUGGCGAAGGCGGCUCACUGGCCCGGUACUGACGCUGAUGUGCGAAAGCGUGGGGAGCAAACAGG